ensembl:lncRNA
UACAAAUCCUUUCCAUGUUGUUCCUGGUUUCUUCCAAUCCUGUGUUUACACCCACCUCUUUAAACUGGAUUUAGCUAGAUCAAAGGAGAUCUGGGUUCUUAUGGAUUGCAAAGGUUUAAUUAGCAAGUGUGUGCUGUUUGCAGCCAGGAAAAUGCAAGCUGCCACUUCAGGAAGCUCUGUGCCUCCUGAGUCCUGUGUGUCCUCUGGGAAGGUGCUAGCUCCUCUGGCACCCCUCUUAGAAGUGGCAUAUAGCUCAAGGGAGCCUGAAGGUGGAGAAUGUGACUUCUCCAAGCAUGGUUUGCAUGGAAAACAAUGCUUCCCUUUCUCCAGCAUAGGAAAUGAAAGCUGAGUUAAGGAAAGCAUCUAGUGGUGCCCUUUGGUUUGAGAGAGCUGUGUCUCACACAUAGUUAUUUAUAGCCAAGUGGAGAGUGACUGGAUCCUAAAUACAUGUUUCCGUCCCUCAGACCCUGUGUUGGUCUGUUUGCUUAAUAAUGUAAUUAGUGCUCAGAGGGAGAAUAUUGAUGCUGCUGCCAGCAGUCAUUGCUCUUCCAUGCGUUUCCAAAUGGUGCCUGCGGCCCACUUGGCUGUGCAUUACCUGGCUUGGUAGCUCCACCAUGCGUCACCCACGCUGACUCCUCAGAGACCCCUCCUGCUAAACACCCGACUCCACAUCCCCCCACAUGCUGUUGAGUUCCACAUGUGUAAGGCUCACAUCUUACACAGUAGGUGGAAUGGUCUUUGAUGAAGGCUGCAAUGAAAGACCACUAAUUUCCCUCUGAUCUUUCAGUAUGGAAAGGUUAGAACUGCUUGCUGUGCAUUUCCUAGCAAUGUCCCUUUUCUGGUGUUAACCUGUCUCCAACUGGAGCCCUGACUCCCUCACACCCCAGUCUUCCCAGAUGAUCUUGCUGGAUGCUGAAGACACCACCAGCUCCAUACCUGUGUGCUGGAAAUGGGACUCAGUUCUGCUGUGUUCUCCUCACCCCCAGUGGAGAUGAAGGAAGUCAUGGUCACUGAAUGCUUUUCUCCAGCGCCACACUGCGGCGUAGCCAGAGUGGACCUCCACAGGACCAUUCCUGUCUGUGGUACCAUGCCCCCUUUAUGAGUUUGAGGUAAUCUGAGGAUGCAUUUUCUCGUGUUUAUCUGACAACCUACCCGCCCCCCCCCACAUACACACACCUCUCUCCAAGAGAAGCCCAGAGGGGUGAUUAUGGUUUAAAAAGCCAGGUCAUAAAUCGGGCUUUUUCUGCUCACUUGCUUUGUAGCAGAGGGAAUCCACAGAGGGCAAUUCAAAAGGAAAGGAAACAGGGUGAGAAAAAAGCAGAAGGGGGUGGAAAACCAAUGGUUUAGCUUUAGUGUCAGAAUGAUGGAAACUUUUUCCACAUUUGAUUAAUUAUUAAGAGAUCUGUUUAAUAAAAUAUAGAGAGAACAUUUAUUUUGUCUCUCCAUCCACAAUCGUUAGCAUGACCUGGGACCCCUAUUUUGGAGGUGAACAAAAAGCUAUUGAGGUAUAACAAUAAAUUUUGUCCCCAAGGGUGUUUGCAGAAGUGGCCACAGGGCCAUCCUGACAGAUUUAAGGCAGAAAUCCCAUGGCUGACACUGAAGUGUGUCAAAUCCAGUGGCUUCCCUUGGCAGGUCACAGUCACCAGCCUCCCUCAGACAUGUGAAUAAAGCAGAAUCUCUCACCUAGAAAACACUGUGUGCUGGUAGGGGUUUUCCUUUUUCUUUAGAAAAUUAUUUCCCUAAAAUACAGGUUCAAUGAUUUAGUAUUCUUGGAGGCUUUCUUACCUCACAUGCAGAAAGUCAUUAAGGAAAUCCACUCAUACUUUUUCAAUAAAUUGUUUUUUAAAAACUCAAAAUCUCUCUGCCCAUGAUUCUCUUUAUUUUAUUUGAAUUUAGAUAGAAAUGUUGGGGUCUUAUGAGGAAAUAUCCUAUUUGAAACAAAUGGGCUUCCUCCCCUCCCAUCCACCAGAAAAAAAAAUGUUAGUUUUAUAUGUAGGAUUACUGUGUUGAAUCUCUCAUUCAGUUGCAUGAAUUUAUAAUGAUUUAAAGUAGCCUCAUAUAGAUUUAUAAAUGAACAUAUUAAUUACAAAGCACUUGAGUAACCAUUUCAGAGUUUGGGUUUAUAAUGCAGUUUUCUGGUUGUUUCCCACCAUUUCUUUUUUCUUUUUUUUUUUUUUUUAGUUACCAGGGAUUGAACUUGGGACCUUGCCCUUGUGAGAUUUAAGAGGGGCUGUCUUCAUCUGUUUUCAGAAGAUGAGAAAACUACUCCUUAGAAAAGUCAGCACCCUGCUCAGAGUCAGACAGCUGGCGAGGGGCAGCUGGCCCACUUCACACUUUGCUUGUCUCCCAAGCCAUUGGCCCAGAAGGACUAGUGGUGUUUUUAUCCCCAUUGACAGAUGAAGAGGCUGAGGUCCCAAGAGGACAAGUGGCCACCCAAGGUCACACAGCAGCAAACAUGGAGCUGGAAGGAGACACAGGUUAUUAGAGG